GUCAGGGACUCCUAGUUGAGAGCAAACCUCCCGAAUUUAUUCGUGGGGUUGCAGUUAACGCGACCUGACCAGAUAGCAGCCAAUAAACGGGCUACGUUUAAAGGAAGUGCUAAAAGUCCCACCUACAAAUGCUUGCCAGUUUGUAGCUCUGGAACCAAGCGAUUAAACAAGUUUAAGGGAGUUAAGCUAGUGUCGCUUGGAUAUGCCGACUCUAAACAUUAGCAAGGCAAACUUUAC
rfam:Scytonema millei VB511283 scaffold_189, whole genome shotgun sequence.